rnacentral:rRNA from 1 species
CGAUACUUGGUGUGAAUUGCAGAAUUCAGUGAAUCAUCGAAUCUUUGAACGCACCUUGCGCUCCUUGGUAUUCCGAGGAGCAUGCCUGUUUGAGUGUCAUGAAAUUCUCAAACCCAUUAGUCUUUGCGGUCUAGUGGGCUUUGGACUUGGAGGCUUGUCGGUGACUGCAAAGUCAUCGACUCCUCUCAAAUGCAUUAGCUUGAUUCCUUGCGGAUCGGCUCUCGGUGUGAUAAUUGUCUACGCCGUGACCGUGAAGCGUUUUGGCAAGCUUCUAAUCGUCUCUUGCGAGNGCAGCUUACAUUGACCUCUGACCUCAAAUCAGGUAGGACUACCCGCUGAACUUAAGCAUAUCAAUAAGCGGAGGA